GGUGCCCCGCGGCUGGAGCGCAGCGGGCGGUGGCCGGCGGCCCUUCGACGGCGGGGCCAUGGGCACGCGCAGGCCACACGUGCUGGUGGACACGACGCCGGCCAAGACAAUUUUGGUGUACCGCAACGGGGACGCGUUCUUCGUGGCCCGGAGGUUGGUGGUGCCGCGGCGCCGCGUGCCCACCUUCGAGGCGCUGCUGGAGCAGCUGACCGAGCAGGUGGACGUGCCGUUCGGCGUGCGGCGCCUCUUCACGCCCACACGCGGGCACCCGGUGCGCGAGCUGCAGGCGCUGCAGGCGGGCGGCAAGUACGUGGCGGCCGGCCGCGAGCCCUUCAAGAAGCUUGAUUAUAUUCAUAUAGUACCCAGGAAACCUGGAAAGAUGAGCAAGUUGAAGGAAAUCAAACCGGUGGUACAUUGUGACCUGAAUGUGCCUUCCAGGUGGCAAACCUUCCAGCGAACGUCCAGGCUCGUCAAUGUUUUCACAAAUGGAAGACUAUUUAUCCCACCCGUAAAAAUUAUCAUACCCAAAUUCAGUCUGACGGAAUGGAAUAGCGUGCUGGCCAUGAUUGGGGAAAAAGUCUUCCCUCUAGGAGGCGUUCAAAAAUUAUUUACCAUGAACGGGCAUCUUCUGGACAACUCAAAGGAUCUGCAAGAUAACCACUUUUACGUGGCGGCAGGACCGGAGACCUUCAAAGAUUUCCCUUACUGGAAAUCCUCUAAGGUGCCCAGCGAGGUCCAACGAAAGUACGCGGACAUCGAGAAAUACUCAAGAGAAAAGAAAAAAGAGGGUUCCAAAGGAAAAGAAACGCAUAAGCAUGACAGCAUUCCCCGUAAGGAACGGGAUUCUGUUUUUUACGCCAGAGCGGGGAAGAAGACGACGCUGGUGGCACCCUCAUUCCAAAGCGGUUCAGAAGGUGACGUGUUUAGAGCCCAGACUCCAAGCGCAGAUACCCAGGAGGCGCCAGAAGUCAAAGAAGACAGCAGUGUGCAGGUGGAGGUGCCGGUGGACCAGACGCCGGCUGAGAUAGUCACGGAAGACGAGGAGAUACACGAUAACCCCUCUGAUUUCGAAAGCAUCAAGGAAAAAGAAGAUGAAGGGUCUUAUGAAGAUAAUGGAAGAAAGGAAGACAAUUCACGAAUGUCUUUUAAGAAAAGGUUUUCCUUAAGACACAGCACAAAGGAAAAAGAAAAAGAACCAUAUGACCUUCUAGAGGGAAAAAACACACCUGUACUACUAGAAGCCCCAGUGAAAAUAGAAGACCAAAGACAACCACCAAUGGGACAGCAAUCAUGAGAAGAAUCAUCAUCAGGACGAUCAGAAGAAAAGCCUGAAGACCAAGAAUUGCUCGAACAGCCAUCCUGGGGGCAGCCAUCCCAAGAACAGAUACCCGACAAACGAGAACCAUCUGAACAGUCCUCCUUGACACAAUUAUCCCAAGAACAGAUACCUGACACACGAGAACCAUCGUACCUGAACAGCCAUCGUUGGGGCAAAAAGAGAUGACACACGGAGGAAAAACUGAACAAAUACCAUGAAAACAACAUAUCAGCCAUGUUGUAAAGAAUAACAGUCAGAAGCUAGAAAGGAUCGUACGGCAAAUGAAAAGAAAAUUAGACAUUUAUUUCACGGUAUGCUAAAGAGAGCGGCUGCACCAGUUUGCAUUCCCACCAACAGUGCAAGAGUGUCUCUGGGAUAUUUUCAUGCAAUACUGUAGAUUCUCAACGUGCCACAGGCUGCCAUCUAGAAAAGCACCCAGAACAUGCAGUAAAAUGUCCUAGUUGAAGAAGCUGUAGGCUGUUUGCCUUUACAUCUGGGUGAAAAAAAAAAAAGAAAUCAUGUGCUACUUACAAGGCGAAAUUUUCACAGUAGAGACUUCAGUGUCAUUUGGCGGGUACGGAACACUGUCACGUUCAAACCUGAAAGGUAUUGACUGUUACAACUAUGGUUAAACUAUUACAACCAUCGACAAUAGA